rnacentral:rRNA from 1 species
GUAACGCGAGUGAAGCGGGGUGAGCUCAAAUUUAAAAUCUGGCCGGUUUACUGGUCCGAAUUGUAGUUAAAGAAGCGUUUUCGGUGGCAGCCUGGGUAUAAAUCCUUUGGAAUAGGGUAUCAUAGAGGGUGAGAAUCCCGUCUUUGACUCAGUGCAUGCUACUAUGUGAUACGUUUUCAAAGAGUCGAGUUGUUUGGGAAUGCAGCUCAAAAUGGGUGGUAAAUUUCAUCUAAAGCUAAAUAUUGGCGAGAGACCGAUAGCGAACAAGUACCGUGAGGGAAAGAUGAAAAGAACUUUGAAAAGAGAGUUAAACAGUGCGUGAAAUUGUUGAAAGGGAAACGUUUGACACCAGUCAUGCGGGUGGAAAAUCAGUCUUUUGGAGUGGGGAGUGGUAUAGGUUUGGACCGCAAGGCCGCCCUGUGCUUCAUUUCUGCUUCAAGUGAUGCACUUUUUCAUUUUGCAGGUCAACAUCAGUUUUUUCCGCUGGACAAAACUCCGAGAGAAGGUAGCAGCUUAGGCUGUGUUAUAGCUCUGGAGCGAUACAGUGGAGAAGACUGAGGUUUUCGCAGCGUGUGCUCUCGGGCAAGGCUGACUGGGUGCUAUGAGAUUGUUCGACGUACAAUGCAUGCAUUUUGCGACGUGUCUUUUUCAUACUCGCUCAGCUCAGCUCUUCCACGCUUAGGAUGUUGACAUAAUGGUUUUAAACGACCCGUCUUGAAACACGGACCAAGGAGUCUAACAUAUAUGCAAGUGUUUGGGUGGCAAACCCAUACGCGUAAUGAAAGUGAACGUAGGUGCCAUCCGCAAGGUGCAGCAUCGACCGAUCUUGAUAUUUUUGGAUAGAUUUGAGUAAGAGCAUAUAUGCUGGGACCCGAAA